AAUAAACCCUGAUUUCCGUGUCCAAUGUUUAACCGUCCGUCUUAUUUAAAAAAUUAUAAAAAAAUUAAAAAGACAAAUCAUGCAUAAAGUAUUAAUCAUGUUUUAUCAUCUAACAAUAAUGAAAAUACUAAUUAUAAAAAAAAAUUAUAUAUGAUGGACAGACAAAUGUUAGACAUGGAAAUUUAAGGUUUGUUUUUUU
rfam:Oryza barthii chromosome 3, whole genome shotgun sequence.